rnacentral:rRNA from 1 species
ACUGAAUAGAUACCCUGGUAGUCCCAGCCGUAAACGAUGCUCGCUAGGUGUCAGGCAUGGCGCGACCGUGUCUGGUGCCGCAGGGAAGCCGUGAAGCGAGCCACCUGGGAAGUACGGCCGCAAGGCUGAAACUUAAAGGAAUUGGCGGGGGAGCACAACAACGGGUGGAGCCUGCGGCUUAAUUGGACUCAACGCCGGACAACUCACCGGGGGCGACAGCAAUAUGUAGGCCAAGCUGAAGACUUUGCCUGAAUCGCUGAGAGGAGGUGCAUGGCCGUCGCCAGUUCGUACUGUGAAGCAUCCUGUUAAGUCAGGCAACGAGCGAGACCCGUGCCCACUGUUACCAGCAUGUCCUGGUAC